rnacentral:rRNA from 1 species
AGCUACGACCAUAUCUCGAGUACAGCAAGAUUUCCCGUCCGAUCAAUCAUACUUAAGCCUCGGAGAGCCUUAACCAGUAGUGCCGUGGGAGACCAGGCGUGAACAGAGGGUGUUGUAGCUU